UCUUUGGAGUUCUUUUCCGGUUUUUGCCUU
rnacentral:piRNA from 1 species